rnacentral:rRNA from 1 species
UACGUAGGGUGCAAGCGUUGUCCGGAAUUAUUGGGCGUAAAGAGCUCGUAGGCGGUUUGUCGCGUCUGCUGUGAAAACGCGAGGCUCAACCUCGCGCCUGCAGUGGGUACGGGCAGACUAGAGUGCGGUAGGGGAGAUUGGAAUUCCUGGUGUAGCGGUGGAAUGCGCAGAUAUCAGGAGGAACACCGAUGGCGAAGGCAGAUCUCUGGGCCGUAACUGACGCUGAGGAGCGAAAGCAAGGGGAGCGAACAGG